AUUGAACGCUGGCGGCAGGCCUAACACAUGCAAGUCGAACGAGUGGCGGACGGGUGAGUAAUGUCUGGGAAAAUGCAUGAUGGAGGGGGAUAAAUACUGGAAACGGUAGCGAAUACCGAAUACCAUCGGCUGUGCACAGAUGGGAUGAGCUAGUAGGUGGGGUAACGGCUCACCUAGGCGACGAUCCCUAGCUGGUCUGAGAGGAUGACCAGCCACACUGGAACUGAGACACGGUCCAGACUCCUACGGGAGGCAGCAGUGGGGAAUAUUGCGCAAUGGGCGCAAGCCUGAUGCAGCCAUGCCGCGUGUAUGAAGAAGGCCUUCGGGUUGUAAAGUACUUUCAGCGGGGAGGCGUUACCAGCAGAAGAAGCACCGGCUAACUCCGUGCCAGCAGCCGCGGUAAUUC
rnacentral:rRNA from 1 species